rnacentral:rRNA from 1 species
GAUGAACGCUGGCGGCGUGCCUAAUACAUGCAAGUCGAGCGAACAGACGAGGAGCUUGCUCCUCUGACGUUAGCGGCGGACGGGUGAGUAACACGUGGAUAACCUACCUAUAAGACUGGGAUAACUUCGGGAAACCGGAGCUAAUACCGGAUAAUAUAUUGAACCGCAUGGUUCAAUAGUGAAAGACGGUUUUGCUGUCACUUAUAGAUGGAUCCGCGCCGCAUUAGCUAGUUGGUAAGGUAACGGCUUACCAAGGCAACGAUGCGUAGCCGACCUGAGAGGGUGAUCGGCCACACUGGAACUGAGACACGGUCCAGGCUCCUACGGGAGGCAGCAGUAGGGAAUCUUCCGCAAUGGGCGAAAGCCUGACGGAGCAACGCCACGUGAGUGAUGAAGGUCUUCGGAUCGUAAAACUCUGUUAUUAGGGAAGAACAAAUGUGUAAGUAACUAUGCACGUCUUGACGGUACCUAAUCAGAAAGCCACGGCUAACUACGUG